rnacentral:lncRNA from 1 species
GAAAAAAAUUUGGGACCCUAUUAGGCAGAAUUUUUUUUUUCGGUUUAAUAGGACGGAUAAAAGAGGAGCUAUAUGUAGAUAAAAAUUUAUGAAUGUAAAACUAUCAAUAAAUCUUCUGAAUAUAGUAAUAUAUAAACAACACAUAUUUGUGAUACAGAAUUUACUCAAAAUUGUUCAAAAUCUGCUCUUCGGGUCUGGGCAGAAACAAACUUCUCUAUUACUUUGUCAACAUUCACACUGAAAUCCCGAUGAAUAUGCAGUAAUGCUAUGUAACUUUCGUUGUUCAUUGUUGAUCGUACAUUUGUUUUCAAUUAUAUACGUAGUACCGUGACUGAUAGAUCUCAGGGCCAUCAUGGCAUGGUAGCACUCGCGAGAUGUUAUAAACCAGCGUACGUGUUCGGCAUCGAGCGACCUCCCAAUUGAAUUCGUCAAAAUUACAUGCUAGGUCAGUUUCGCAUGUUUCAGACAAUAUUGAGAUUUGUUCGUUUGUGAUAUUUCCUACAACACGAUGAAGCAGAUACAGCACAAAGAAGCGAUUUUCUGAUAACUUGACGCGACUCCACUCUCCAGUUGCCUUAUCAUAU